rnacentral:lncRNA from 1 species
GAAGCUCUGAAGCAACAAGAGAGCAAUUUUUUCAUAGUUUUGUAGAUGCACCGUAAAAAAAAAAAGGAGAUAGAGAUUUUUUUUUAUUUUUAUUUUUUAAUACCCAACCCGGCCUUGAAAUCUACCCUCCAGAGGUGCCACGGGCACCACCCCCAUGGGAGGCAGCCAGCCUGGGAUGCGACCGUGACAGGGAAUGAGCAGUGAGAACCAUGGGCUCACGGAUAAAGGAAAAUCCCCAGAAGACAUUUGAUUUGUUCUUCGAGGCAGCCUGCCCCACCUCUGCAGAUGACGACCCCCAGGUGCUGAGGCAGUUCCCGGAGGAGUUCGAUGACCAGGUCUGCACCUCGCUUCUGCGCACCCUCUGCCAAGCACCAUGUUUCCCCUGUGCCAGUGGAGGCCAGUUGAG